AAGUCGUAACAAGGUUUCCGUAGGUGAACCUGCGGAAGGAUCAUUAAUGAAACUUCAAAGUCGGCCUCUGCUGUGCUGGUGGUUAAAUUCACAUGUGCACGCUCUGGUCGCAAAUCCACACACACCUGUGCAUCUAUGACUCGAGGUUGUAAUGACUGAGAGUAACUUUUACACACUCUGAAUGUAACGGAAUGUCUUUUUGUGCUAUAAUGUACAAUAUAAACAACUUUCAACAACGGAUCUCUUGGCUCUC
rnacentral:misc_RNA from 1 species